rnacentral:rRNA from 1 species
GACGAACGCUGGCGGCGUGCCUAAUACAUGCAAGUCGAGCGAAUCAAUAGGAGCUUGCUCCUGUUGGUUAGCGGCGGACGGGUGAGUAACACGUGGGCAACCUGCCUGUAAGACUGGGAUAACAUCCGGAGACGGAUGCUAAUACCGGAUAGCAAGCAAAGAGGCAUCUCUUCGCUGAGAAAGGCGCUACGGCGUCACUGUCGGAUGGGCCCGCGGCGCAUUAGCUAGUUGGUGAGGUAACGGCUCACCAAGGCGACGGUGCGUAGCCGACCUGAGAGGGUGACCGGCCACACUGGGACUGAGACACGGCCCAGACUCCUACGGGAGGCAGCAGUAGGGAAUCUUCCACAAUGGGCGAAAGCCUGAUGGAGCAACGCCGCGUGAGUGAUGAAGGCCUUCGGGUUGUAAAACUCUGUCUUCUGGGACGAACGAACAGGAGAGGGAAUGUUCCUGUUGUGACGGUACCAGAGGAGGAAGCCACGGCUAACUACGUGCCAGCCGCCGCGUUAAGAC